rnacentral:tRNA from 1 species
GGGGUUGUGGCUCAGUGGUAGAGCACUCGCCUACCACGCAUGAGGCACUGGGUUUGAUCCUCAGCACCA